rfam:Taphrina deformans PYCC 5710 genomic scaffold, scaffold00323
GGGGAUAUAAUUUAGUUGGUAGAAUAUUGACCUUGCACGUCAAAGAGAUGGGUUCAAGUCCCAUUGUCUCCA